UUUCACCUAAACUAUGAAAUAUAACUCCGUUAACACGACCAUCGGAGAAAAAUAACUCGGAAAACUAUUAACAGUACAAGUAAAAAUCUCAAAAUCUGAGCGGUAAAAAUGAAAUGGUUAAGAUCACCUUUUUGACUCCCCUACCUUUUUUUUCCCUACAUCCACAACAUGGAGGAUAUGAAUACAAGCCUAUGCAAGAAAGUGCAGGCACCGAAGG
rnacentral:lncRNA from 1 species